UUGAACGCUGGCGGCAUGCCUUACACAUGCAAGUCGAACGGCAGCGCGGGGCAACCUGGCGGCGAGUGGCGAACGGGUGAGUAAUAUAUCGGAACGUACCCUGGAGUGGGGGAUAACGUAGCGAAAGUUACGCUAAUACCGCAUACGAUCUACGGAUGAAAGUGGGGGAUCGCAAGACCUCAUGCUCGUGGAGCGGCCGAUAUCUGAUUAGCUAGUUGGUAGGGUAAAAGCCUACCAAGGCAACGAUCAGUAGCUGGUCUGAGAGGACGAUCAGCCACACUGGAACUGAGACACGGUCCAGACUCCUACGGGAGGCAGCAGUGGGGAAUUUUGGACAAUGGGCGCAAGCCUGAUCCAGCAAUGCCGCGUGAGUGAAGAAGGCCUUCGGGUUGUAAAGCUCUUUUGUCAGGGAAGAAACGGUAGAGGCUAAUAUCCUUUGCUAAUGACGGUACCUGAAGAAUAAGCACCGGCUAACUACGU
rnacentral:rRNA from 1 species